CAGCAGUAGCCGCGGUAAUACGGAGGAUCCAAGCGUUAUCCGGAUUUAUUGGGUUUAAAGGGUGCGUAGGUGGCCUGUUAAGUCAGGGGUGAAAGACGGUAGCUCAACUAUCGCAGUGCCCUUGAUACUGAUGGGCUUGAAUGAACUAGAGGUAGGCGGAAUGUGACAAGUAGCGGUGAAAUGCAUAGAUAUGUCACAGAACACCAAUUGCGAAGGCAGCUUACUAUGGUUUGAUUGACACUGAGGCACGAAAGCGUGGGGAUCAAACAGGAUUAGAUACCCGCGUAGUCCCUGUCUCUUAUAC
rnacentral:rRNA from 1 species